rnacentral:misc_RNA from 1 species
GAGAUCUCUUGGAGUUGCAUUUCAGGAAGUACCUGAAAAGACUAAGGACAGUCCUGGAGGUCCUUGGACAUUUUGUGGGUUGUUGCCCUUGUUUGAUCCUCCUAGACAUGUGCUGAGACCAUCCGUAGAGCACUUAACCUUGGAGUCGGUGUUAAGAUGAUUACAGGUGAUCAGCUGGCAAUUGCAAAGGAGACAGGGAGACGACUUGGCAUGGGAACGAACAUGUACCCCUCUUCAUCGCUGUUGGGUCGUGACAAGGAUGAAUAUGAAGCUCUUCCAGUGGAUGAGCUCAUUGAGAAGGCAGAUGGCUUUGCUGGUGUUUUCCCAGAACACAAAUAUGAGAUUGUGAAAAUCCUACAAGAAAAGAAGCAUGUGGUUGGGAUGACUGGAGAUGGUGUAAAUGAUGCUCCUGCCUUAAAGAAAGCAGAUAUUGGUAUAGCAGUGGCAGAUUCUACAGAUGCUGCAAGAAGUGCUGCAGAUUUGGUGUUAACGGAGCCUGGCUUAAGUGUGAUAGUUAGUGCUGUCUUAACUAGCAGAGCUAUAUUCCAAAGAAUGAAGAACUAUACGAUAUAUGCUGUUUCGAUAACAAUUCGUAUUGUGCUUGGUUUUGUGCUUCUUGCCCUGAUAUGGGAAUAUGACUUCCCUCCUUUCAUGGUUCUGAUCAUAGCAAUACUCAAUGAUGGUACUAUUAUGACUAUUUCUCAAGAUCGGGUUAAGCCAUCUCCAAGGCCUGACAGUUGGAAGCUCCCUGAGAUAUUUGCAACUGGCAUUGUCAUUGGGACAUACCUUGCUUUGGUUACAGUCCUGUUUUACUGGCUUUUGAUUGGCACUAAUUUCUUUGAGAGAACCUUCCAUGUAAGAUCUCUGUCAAGCAAUAGUGAAGAAGUUUCCUCUGCAGUUUAUCUGCAAGUCAGCAUCAUCAGCCAGGCUCUCAUAUUUGUUACACGCAGUCAAAGUUGGUCCUUUAUGGAGAGGCCUGGAGUUCUCUUGAUGUGUGCAUUUGUGGUGGCUCAACUGGUGGCUACCUUAAUUGCUGUAUAUGCACAUAUUAGCUUUGCUUAUAUUAGAGGCAUUGGAUGGGGAUGGGCUGGUGUGAUUUGGUUAUAUAGUUUGAUAUUCUACAUUCCCCUGGAUAUUAUCAAGUUCACAGUUCGUUAUGCCUUGAGCGGAGAAGCAUGGAAUCUCUUAUUUGAUAGAAAGACUGCUUUUACUUCAAAGAAAGAUUACGGAAAGGAAGAUAGAGCAGCUAAGUGGAUUCUGUCCCAGAGGAGUCUGCAAGGUAUGAUGGCUGCAGACCUGGAGUUUAAUGGCAGGCGAUCCCGAUCUUCUUUAAUUGCUGAACAGGCGAGACGGCGCGCUGAAAUAGCCAGGCUUGGGGAGAUUCACACCUUGAGAGGACAUAUGGAGUCAGUAGCAAGGCUGAAGAACCUGGACUUAAAUGUGAUCCAAGCAUCUCAUACAGUUUGAAGCCAUGAUGUGAACAUUGCAUCUUCCAAUUUUCUAGUGAAACUUGGCAGCAGCAGCUGCUCACAUGAUCCAUUCUAAGCAUAAUAUGUCAAAAGAAUUGAAAUUUAUUGUCCAAGAGUCAUUUGGAAUAGUGUUAAUGAUCCAUUCAGAGAUGUCCUGAAAUUUUUUUUUGAGUUCCAGCAGUUAGGACUAAAACUCAAGAGGGUCUCUUCCGUAGAUAGCUGAUGCUAUUUCAGACAGCUUUUGAAAUUCUUCUUCUUGUUUGCAGAUAUUUUCAUGUAAUGAUUUGGUAAAUUCCCAUGUAAUAAAUAUACCUGACACACUGGAAAUUUCACCU